GAUGAACGCUAGCGACAGGCCUAACACAUGCAAGUCGAGGGGCAGCAUAAAGGUAGCAAUACUUUGGUGGCGACCGGCGCACGGGUGAGUAACACGUAUGCAACCUACCUGUAAGUGGGGAAUAACCCGGAGAAAUUCGGACUAACACCGCAUAAUACUGAUUAUCUGCAUGGAUUUAUCAGUUAAAUAUUUAUAGCUUACAGAUGGGCAUGCGUAUGAUUAGCUAGUUGGUAGGGUAACGGCCUACCAAGGCAACGAUCAUUAGGGGUUCUGAGAGGAAGGUCCCCCACAUUGGAACUGAGACACGGUCCAAACUCCUACGGGAGGCAGCAGUGAGGAAUAUUGGUCAAUGGACGAGAGUCUGAACCAGCCAAGUCGCGUGAAGGAAGAAGGUUCUAUGGAUUGUAAACUUCUUUUGUAAGGGAAUAAAAAAGGCCACGUGUGGCUUCUUGUAUGUACUUUACGAAUAAGGAUCGGCUAACUCCGUGCCAGCAGCCGCGGUAAUACGGAGGAUCCGAGCGUUAUCCGGAUUUAUUGGGUUUAAAGGGUGCGUAGGCGGACCUGUAAGUCAGUGGUGAAAGUUUGCAGCUCAACUGUAAAAUUGCCAUUGAAACUAUUGGUCUUGAGUGUAAAUGAGGUAGGCGGAAUGUGUUGUGUAGCGGUGAAAUGCUUAGAUAUAACACAGAACACCAAUUGCGAAGGCAGCUUACUAGGAUACAACUGACGCUGAGGCACGAAAGCGUGGGGAUCAAACAGGAUUAGAUACCCUGGUGUCCACGCAGUAAACGAUGAAUACUAGCUGUAUGCGAUAUACUGUAUGUGGCAAAGCGAAAGCGUUAAGUAUUCCACCUGGGGGAGUACGUUCGCAAGAAUG
rnacentral:rRNA from 1 species